GGAUUAGAUACCCUGGUAGUCCACGCCGUAAACGAUGAUGACUAGUUGUUGGGGUUUUCUCAGUGACGCAGCUAACGCAUUAAGUCAUCCGCCUGAGGAGUACGGCCGCAAGGUUAAAACUCAAAGAAAUUGACGGGGGCCCGCACAAGCGGUGGAGCAUGUGGUUUAAUUCGAAGAUACGCGAAAAACCUUACCAGCUCUUGACAUCUUGGGAAGGCUCUAGAGAUAGAGCUGUGCCUUCGGGAACCCAAUGACAGGUGCUGCAUGGCUGUCGUCAGCUCGUGUUG
rnacentral:rRNA from 1 species